UCCAGCUGUUUUGGGACUACAACUCCCAUCAUCCCUAGCUAACAGGACCAGUGUCAGGGAUGAUGGGAGUUGUAGUCCCAAAAGAGCUGGA
rnacentral:miRNA from 1 species